UACGUAGGGCGCAAGCGUUGUCCGGAAUUAUUGGGCGUAAAGAGCGUGUAGGCGGCCAUACAGGUCAGCUGUGAAAACUCGAGGCUCAACCUCGAGACGUCGGUUGAAACCGUAUGGCUAGAGUCCGGAAGAGGAGUGUGGAAUUCCCGGUGUAGCGGUGAAAUGCGCAGAUAUCGGGAAGAACACCCGUGGCGAAGGCGGCACUCUGGGACGGUACUGACGCUGAGACGCGAAAGCGUGGGGAGCGAACAGG
rnacentral:rRNA from 1 species